rnacentral:misc_RNA from 1 species
GAAAUGCGAUAAGUAAUGUGAAUUGCAGAAUUCCGUGAAUCAUCGAAUCUUUGAACGCACAUUGCGCCCCCUGGCAUUCCGGGGGGCAUGCCUGUCCGAGCGUCAUUUCUGCCCUCAAGCACGGCUUGUGUGUUGGGUGUGGUCCCCCCGGGGACCUGCCCGAAAGGCAGCGGCGACGUCCGUCUGGUCCUCGAGCGUAUGGGGCUCUGUCACUCGCUCGGGAAGGACCUGCGGGGGUUGGUCACCACCAUAUUUCACCACGGUUGACCUCGGAUCAGGUAGGAGUUACCCACUGAACUUAAGC